rnacentral:rRNA from 1 species
GUGGGGAAUAUUGGACAAUGGGGGGAACCCUGAUCCAGCCAUGCCGCGUGUGUGAAGAAGGCCUUUUGGUUGUAAAGCACUUUAAGCGAGGAGGAGGCUCCUUUAGUUAAUACCUAAAGAGAGUGGACGUUACUCGCAGAAUAAGCACCGGCUAACUCUGUGCCAGCAGCCGCGGUAAUACAGAGGGUGCGAGCGUUAAUCGGAUUUACUGGGCGUAAAGCGUGCGUAGGCGGCUUUUUAAGUCGGAUGUGAAAUCCCUGAGCUUAACUUAGGAAUUGCAUUCGAUACUGGAAAGCUAGAGUAUGGGAGAGGAUGGUAGAAUUCCAGGUGUAGCGGUGAAAUGCGUAGAGAUCUGGAGGAAUACCGAUGGCGAAGGCAGCCAUCUGGCCUAAUACUGACGCUGAGGUACGAAAGCAUGGGGAGCAAACAGGAUUAGAUACCCGUGUAGUCC